UACGUAGGGGGCAAGCGUUGUCCGGAAUCAUUGGGCGUAAAGAGCGUGUAGGCGGCUUGGUAAGUCCGCUGUGAAAGUCCAGGGCUCAACCCUGGAAUGCCGGUGGAAACUGUCAAGCUUGAGUCCGGAAGAGGCGAGUGGAAUUCCUGGUGUAGCGGUGAAAUGCGCAGAUAUCAGGAGGAACACCAAUGGCGAAGGCAGCUCGCUGGGACGGUACUGACGCUGAGACGCGAAAGCGUGGGAG
rnacentral:rRNA from 1 species